rnacentral:lncRNA from 1 species
CUUUUUAUUAUACACAUUUUCCAGGCUUAAGCUAUUAUUCUUUUUUAACUAUGUUUUUUGGUUUGGGGGGGGUGAUUGUUUUUGGCAUAGGUGAUACAUGUGCGUGGUCCUACAUUCAAAAAGGACAAAAGCUUCUAUAGUGAAAACACCAUCUCUCCCUCAUCCCUCAGCCACCAUUUCCCUCCCCUGGGACAACUCUGAUUACCAAAUAAGCUCCCACCCCCAUGUACCAAAUAAUCUUUUAAAAACCAUACAUCAGAUCAUGUCACUCCCCUACUUAAAACUCUCCAGUGGCUUCCCAUCGCCCUGGCCAUGAAAUCCAGGCUCCUAACUAGUCCUACUGGGUCCCACAUGACCAGGCUCUGGGCCACCUGGCUUCUCUAGUCUCUCUCUCCAGCUCCACUGCUGAUGCAAACUCUGUUCUGGCUGCAAGGAUUUUUCUUUUGCUGUUCCUUCUGCCUUGAAUCUCCUUCCUUCAGAUCUUUGUGCAGUGGGUCCUUUGGCAUCAUUCAGGCUUCAGCUGAGCGAGCCUCUCCCAGGGCGGCUGUCACUGGCCUCCUCCUCUCUGUCACAUCCCUGUGUCCUAUUUCUUUCACAUCACAUAGGAUCUAAUAUUGUCUUGGUUACUUAUUUCCAGUUAUUUAUUGCCAGUCUCCUCCCUCUAGAAAGAAGGUUCCCUGAAGGCAAGCACAUGAUCUGUCUUGUUCAUUCAUGAAGGCCUGCUACCUCACACAGGGCCUGGCACAUAAUAGUAGCUCAACAAAUUUCUGUUAAAGAGAUGAAUGAAGGUGGCUGCAAUGCUGGUCUCAUCACUGACAGCCCACUCCCAGGAUCUCCAGACACCAAGAACCUACCUCCUGGCCAUCCUCUCCCAGGCCUGGGGCAGUGUGACUGGGUCAGAGAAAGGAGAGAGAGGAGCCCAUUGGCCAAGACAGGUGGGUGGACGGCGGCUGCCUGCUCUUCCUCACUGUCUCUUACAUGUGUUGUGCAUUUGUCCAGAAUCAGAUAAGCAGCUUGGACAAAACCAAAUUCCUAGUAAACGCUCUCAGUGGAAAACUGAAGGUAAAACUUUUGCCCCUUACUUACCCUACAUCCUCCCACAUCCACUCUGCCCAAGCAGCUGGGAUAUGCCAGGUUCCCAAGAGAGCCCCAGCAGCAGGAGACACAGAUGCCACCUAGGCAGCAGAGCUCCCCAAGGAACAUCCUCAGCCCAUCCCACCUGACUCUUCCCCGGGGCCCCAGACACCUGAGCUCCUCUCUCCAGAAAUUCAUCGGCCCCAGAGACACAAAUGCACAUCCAAUCCUGAGCCAGCAGCCCAGGCCAGGACACUCAGGGGACACGCUCAUGGAUAUGCUCCUUCCUGGAGCCUGAUUUCCACUGAGAGAACAUGGAAGUUGGGCCAAGAAUGAUUUUUAAGAAUGAAGAAAAGGGGAGAAUGAAGUGCCUUUCACCAAAACUGUGAAGGGAGGGAGGGAAGAAGGGAGAAAGGAGAAAGAAAAGAUGAAAGACUUCACAAGAUGGAACUAAACAAGCAGUAGGGAGGGUGGGAGGUGCUAAAUCAGGAAAGGGUGGGGAGAAGGUUGAGGUUUCAUCCUUUCCAGAAGUGGACAAUUAUUAAUUGAUUAAAUGAGAGCAACCUCAAAAUGCUUUUCUGGGUUCUCUGCAAGGUCAGUUAUGUAAUAAUGGCAAUAACAGAGCACAUUUCUCCAGCACUCACUACAUACCAGGUACCAUUUAUUUAUUCGAUCCAACCACCCUCCUGAAGUUCAUACCUUCCAAACCAGUAUACCUUAACUGAUCAUUAGUUGCCAGUUUCAAAGAUGUGGGCAUAACUGCCCAUUUUGCACACGGGAAAAAUCUAGAAAAGUCAAGGGACUUGUCCAAGCUCAUGCGGCCCAUAGGUGGGGAAUUAGGACCAAAGUAAGCUGAAUCUCAGCAUCUCCAGUGCCACUUCCCAAGGGAGCACAGUAGAAAGCAGGGUCUCUGGAAACUCCGCCCAGAGCAGCAGCAUCUUCUCCGGCUGUCUUUCGCCAGACCCCUUCACCAGCGUCAGCGCCAAGGCGCCCUGCCCGGAAAUUCCCACAGAGUCAAAUCAAACUUCCCAGGAAAACUCCUCGGCUUCCUCCUAGUCCCUGUCACGGAGGCGGCUGCCAAGAGCGCCGCUGGAGUCCUUGCAGCUGCCGUCGGCCCUUCAGGGCGGGAAGCCACCGCUCGUGCGCUGGGGGUCCUCCCGGAAAGGUCCAGGGCUAAAGUUCAAAAUUUACUUCCCGCCCAGGCACGGCUCUCAACUUCGCCCGGGAAUCGCCGGCUACCCCCUCGUCUCUUACCCUCCCCAGCUCCAGUUAAUGGAGCACCUCCAGCCUGGAAGACCAGGCGGGCAGAUGGGAGAAUCCCGCGGGCGAUCCCUGCGCGUCUGGGGACACGAAGCAGCCGGCGCGCGCACAUGUGUGUGUGUGCGCGCGCGAGAGGGGUGUGUGCGUGUGUGUGUGUGGUGUGUGUGGUGUGGUGUGGUGUGUGUGUGUGUGUGUUUACGUACAGAACGCGCGGGGUGGGAAAACAAUGGCGAGCCGCUGGGAACAGAGCAACUAGCCCCCUUUCCCACCUCCUUAUCUCCCUACCUCCCUAACCCCAGGCACGAUUUGCUUUUGCAGUGAAAUAGGAAUGAAAAGAUUCACCUCCGACGUCCAAAGGCGGGAGGUGGGGGGUGGUAAGAAGGAGGCUAGGAUGGGAGGAGGGAGGGGGGUGAAACUGGAGCAGCCCGAGCAGAAAACAAACAGGAUGCAGAGCCCAGCUAGUCCACUGGGGAACGAACCUGAAAGGGUGAGGAGGGUUGCAUGGCUGGCCCCCGGCACCCCACACAAUCAGGGUAGGGGUAGAUAUACGCCUCGGCGCGGGCACCGGAGCCCCACGCAGGGCGCGCACAGGUCGCCUCCGCUUCCCACCGGGAAAUCCUUGAACUGGGCGCACAGACGGGUUGGUGAGAAAGACCUAGGGCCCUCGGCUGGAGAACGAGGAGCGGGCGACUGGGGGGUGGGGGGGUGCGGUACCCCAAGCUCGGCUCUUGUGGUGCGCCCACAGACACAGACACACAGCCACCUCUCUUAUCAGGCUGCCACCUCUCUCCACAAGGACCUAGGUCUGCCUGCGAGGAGCCUCCACUGCCGGCGUGGGGGGUGGGGGGGUAGGUGGGGGUCCGUUCCCUUUUGAAAAACUUUGCAAAGGAUGGAAACUCGCAGAGAAGAGGGCCAGCGUGUGCCAGAAACGUGGGGUCACGAGUGUCAAAACUUCGGAAGGCUGUGGAGGGGGCGCGGCGGCGCGGAGGGGGUGCACUUACUACUCAGCCGGACUCUGGGAUCGCUGCUCGCGGCUCCGCGCUCCUGCUCCUCCUCCGUCCGGGUCCUCGCGGCUGGCAGCCUGGGCUUCCCGCUCACAUGCCCCGGCGACUCCGCGGACAGGCGCGCCGGGCUGGGAGGAGGCACGCCCCCCGCCGCCAGCCGGGGAGUCGCUUGGGACUCUUGGCCACCCCGGCUUCUCACCCCACCACUGGCCGCCGUCCCGGGCGGAGAGCUCGGAUCCGGCCGGGCGGCGCCCUCCGCCGAGCCAGGCCGCUCUCUGCACUCUGCCCUCUGCCCUCUGCUUGCGGCCGUCUCCCUGCCUUCCGCGGUCCUGCUCCCUGACUCGCCGGACGCUGCGCCGGCCCGCCGGGCUCUCCCGCUCCGCGCCUCGGCUCGGUCCCGAAUCAGGGCCUCAGAAGCUGACCGCUGCUCCCCAGGCUCAGAUCCGGGCUCGCCGCUCCUGGGCCGGGGCUCCAGGACCCGCACUCACACAGUUCAGUUCCAAGCCGGGACUGGGAGCAGGGCGCUCUCUGCUCGCUGCUGCGAGGCGACUCCACA